UCUUCCUACAUGGGGCCAGGAAAAAUGCAAGCAAGCUUGCAUGUGACUAGAGGCAGCAGUAUAUCUAUCACAGGCUUCCAGUGCUAGUGCAGUUCUCAGAACAUUACUCUCCUCUCUGCUCCCGACAGACCUACAGUUCUGCAUUAUACAUGGUUCUCAUUAUAUCCCAUAUGAAUGCCAGAGAUGGGGAUCCUAUUCAUGAGAGGAUGACAAUGCAGGAAGACGAAAUGAUUUCUUGCUUCGUGAAGGCAGGUAACUAUGGAUCUGAUGGAUCUGAUGAAUGAUCAUCAUUCAUUACUUACAAGGACUUGGGAAAAGAAGGGUAUCCUGACAGAUUCGCUCCAGGGCUUUAAAGAGUGUGGAAAUAAUGUCUGAAUUCCCAUCUAAGAUGUUCAGAAAAGAUGCAAAAUAAGUGAAUUCUUCAUAACUUCUUACUUCCUUCAAAUUGAGAAGAAACCACAUUUGUAUAUUUGAAUUCUGAAAUGUAAGGAGGCACUCUGGCCCCAUGUGUUUUUCUGCUAUUUAUUUUUAAUAAUGAAAGCAAAUGAGAAAUGGAAAACAUCUGCUAAGCAUGCAAGCACCUUUUAAACAUGCUCGUUUCACCUGCAAGACAAAGAGCGGCAGUUUCUCCCCACUCUCAUCCAGAAGCACAGUAAAUUUCAGAGAAGGCUAAACCUGAACUGUCAUGUUGUGCUCAUCCACAUACACCAUUCUCUGCCUUGCGAGAGAAAAAAGACAAUACUUGGGCUUUAGAAUUUAUUAAGGAAAAGCUGCUAUUACACAAUCACUGUUUUCCCCAGAUAAAUAAAUAAAAAGAAAGAAAUUAAAGAAUGUGCUGCCAAUGAAAGAGAAAUUUCAGGGAUAUCAGUACUAGCCCCUUCUCACUGUGUCCACAGCUUGGGCAUUUCUGCCAAGCUUCUUAAAAUGUUUCAUUACUUCACAAGGAAAUAUGAUGUAUGCUUUCUGAAAACAAAAAAAAGUCAAAGAUGCACUGUUUUUAUAAAGACCCACUUCUGCUUCCUACUCAUUUCGUAACACACCUCUGUGCACCAUUUCAUACAAAACCUGGUCUGACAGAACUCUUCGGGACUGGUGCUCUGUCUUUAUGGAUCAUGACUGGCUGUGACUCUUAUGUGAAAGAGUUUCAGUAAUGAAGAUUGCUGUGGAAGUCAGGGAUUAUGUAAGGAUAUAAGACUUCCUGAUUAGGGUUUCAAAAACCUCCAUACAUCAAAGUAAGGCCACCUUUUAUGCAAGCAUUACAUAGGCAAAUGUUGACAAAAUGCUUCAAGGAAAACAUUAGAAGUAUGAAUCGGCAGCAGUCACUUCAUACACUCUAGCACCGGCAGAUGAAACUGUUCCUAGCCUAGUAUCUAGUCCCCAGUGAAUGAGUUACUGCAUACAUCGCUGGUAAUAGCUUGGCACACAUCAAAGGCAACACUGACGUUAUACCAUCAGCCCAUAAACGCAGCAACAGGAACACAAGUCUCAAGCCAAAAACACAAGGUCAUUUAGUGCUCUGCCUCCUUUCCCUCUCAUGUCAGCAGCGGCCCCAAAAAAGGCUUCAUGGAAAGCUGCUAUUUGAUUUGGAAGCCUUCCCUUCUUCCCAGGUCUCUCACAGCAUCAAUAUAAGGGAGCGGAACAAUGGCCAGCUUCCUGCAGCCCUCCCGAGAUGUGUCCCCAGGCCUCUGUUCUGGGUGUCUGACCUCGCUCUCCACUGGAGCCUUCCUGUACCAAGUGAGGAGCCGAAGCAUGAGGAAGCCCAACAAGAUCACAAGUCAUUGUCAAAUACUACUUAUUUUUAAAAAGAAAAAAAGGACCUCAGAAUUGUAAGCUGCUAACUGGCUCCUUAGAAACAGAAGAAAUGCUGAGAUCCAAAGUAAAGUAAAGCUAAGUGUUGGAGACCCACUACCUUCAACAGUUUUAACAUUAAACUGGCUGGUGAUCCCAAACAUAACAUCUACCACCGUCAUUCAGGGAAAGAUCAGAACAAAUGAAGUCAGAACAUCCACAGCAAUGCAGAGCCCAAGUACGCUCAGAAAUUUCCCUUCCAUCUCUACUUUUCUCCAGUGACAACAUUUGGGGCCAUUUCUUAAGACCUCUGCCUACAACAUUGGCACAAGUUCCAUGAUGACAUCAGGGGCACUGAACAGACGAUGGAAAACAGCAGUUAAUUAUAUUUUAAAAGAAAAAUUGGUCUUCAGUAGAGCUGUCUGAUUUAUCCAACAAAGUUGAAAAAAAGAGAGAAAAUACAUUCUCUCAUCACUCAGCUGGGGUUGCUAGUGCAAGCUACUGUGAUUGAGGCCGGUAAUGUGACUUUCUUUGAAAGUAAAACCAAUCCUCAGAAAAGUAUCUCUUGUGUAUCUCUUGCUUGUGCUCACUUCAGAAAUGAGCAAAAUUCAGAGGUGAAGGCAUUGCUACUAUCUAAUCUUCUGUCCCAAUAACUAAUUGUGCUGAAUGUUUCCUUUUUUUUCCUUUAGGUUUGUUUUUCAGCAGGGGAACCAAGCUGACCACAGGGCUAACAGGAUACAAGUUCCUUUGCUCUAAAUUCUGGGAAAGGAGUUAAGUGAGUGAGAUGUCACUACUCUCCUCAUAUUGAACCACUGAGCACUCUUGGGAUCACCUCAGGUCUGGACCUGUUUGUUUUCUUAUUUUGUUUGUUUGAUAUAUUAGAAAAUAUAUGAAUGAGCAAGAAUUUAUUAUAAAGACCAUACCUCAGGCUUUCUGUUAAAACAUAAGUCACCAGAAGAUAAAAAAUUGUCUUAUUAUCACUUGUUUAAGACAGUAUAAGAAGUAAAUUGGAUUGUGGAAAAAAAAUCAUGAAACUAACCUAAAUGGGUACCUUUUCCAUUGACUAUUCUAUUUCAUUGCCUUGUUUUUAAGUAAGUGAGCUCAAAGCAAUAUUUUUCCAGAAAGACCAGUCUGUCAGUACUGAUCAGUGAACACCCUAGGAGGUUCAUCUUUUGGUCACGUGAGAAAACAAACAACAUCAUUACGAUAAAGCUUCCUUGUAAGUCAAGAGCAUAUAAAAGUACACUGACUAUAUACUGCAACAGAUCCGUAACAAAAGCAAUCACAGUAAUGACACAUGCAUUACUACCAAAUGCUGAAGACAAGAUGGAAGAGGUGGCAGGGUGUGUUUGUUGUGCUUCUCUGAAGGGGUAUAAUGAAGACAACACAGGGAAAAAGGUGUUUCUCAAACUGCAAGAGUCAUACAUCUUUUAAGCAACAGACUAUCAAGUGUGCAACUAUUGAAACAUGUGAGGAACAAAGCACAGUAUCAGAACUGCCAUUACUGUCCUGCUGUAUCAGCCAACUCGUAAAUCUAACAGCAAGAAGGAAACCAUUGCAAUAAGCUGAGGUCAAUAAGAGCUCCAUCGUUUGUUUAAAGAUGCACCUACUGAGUAGUAGGAGGAAAUUACUAACACGAGUUGGAUCUAUUCGCUAAUAAAAGACAGCAGUACUUAAAGGAAGUGAGGGUUGCACAGAGGACUGAGGAUUUUUAUCACUUCUUGGUAAGAGCUGUAUAUAUAUGUCAUGUAACACGGUGGUAGCAACUCAGCUGCCCAUUCUUCCAUCAAAUAAGGGCUACAUCUGCCUCUCUAUUGCACAGCCAGAAAACUGCAUCCUAAAUGAAUGCUCAGACAGUUAUUCUACCUGCUUUACGGUCAGGGCUGACAAAUUCCCAGCAGUUAUGCAAUGCAUGAGAAGUUUCAAAAGCGAUUUUUCUGUAGCACUGUUAGUUCUGUUGUACACAUGGCACAAAACAUAGAUGAGACUUCUAACACGCAAUUUCUAAUAGCAGACAAAUAAUAAUCUCUGGCUUUCAAAGAUUUGACAGCAAGCCAUUUAAGAAUUAAAGGCUGAGCUGUGAAAGAAAAAUGUGUUUUGGAAUGCCCUUUCUAUUAGUUAAGCUAUCAUUACUACUUUUCAAUUAUAGUACAAAUGUGCAAUUUUCAUAAAGCAAAACAAUGCUGCAAAGUCUAUUGAUGGGAUUAGAUGUAAUGUGCCUCUAUUUUGGCCCAGUCCUUCAAGAUGUCAAGGUACCCCCAAGUCCUGCUGAAACCAUCUGACACAACAAAACAGAGGGGAUGAGAGAUCUCAGAAGAGCACAAAUGAUCAGAUAAUUCUGCCUUGAACAGGUAUCUAGGUGUACUAUGGCCCUAAAGAAUUCUCCUGUCAGCAGCUUAAAGUGACAGUGGGAGCUGAGAGCAUUCAGCAAUUAACAGUAUCUCUACAUACAAACUAUUCUACCCAGUGGUUUCCAACGUGUCGGCCUCCAAAACUGUUUCAGUGUUCUUUUUAAGAGAGCCUUAAGAAGAGGAGAAUCUAUACAAGCAUACUGCUGUAUAACACAUAGAUUUGCUUUCGACAGUAACUUUUCUUGAGUUUUUUGGCAGUGAUCUGCAGACAUCCAAGAGUCUGGGGACCAUGGCAGAGAAACAGCUGUCAAGAAGGUAUCAGCAGCUGCUCACUACAAAGAGAUACAGAGAGAAUGAAGAGUCUCAGAUGUGGUGUAGCCAAGCUGCUCUGCAGCUCCUGAAUGCUUUGGUACUGCAUAUUUGAGAAAAGAGGGGGCUUUAAAGUAAGGCUACAAAGAGACAUGUAGGAAGCUGCUAAUGGCUGAACAAACUCAGUGAAGCUACAGUUCCCGUUGUGGCCCAAGAGCUCUUCAAGGCCGCUAACACACACCCCUACACAGGCCUUCCUUUUAGUAACAGCAACAAUAAUUAAUAAUAGUAAAAAUGACAUUUCUGCUGGGUUAUUUAGAGAGAGACAAGCUGAAGAGAUAGACUUGACCUUUUUACAGGAAUAAGAAAGAAGAACAACAGUUAGACAAGAGAAAUACCUCAUCAAAAAUGCUGAAGAGGACAGGAGGUGGGAUGAGAAGUGAGAAGGAGCCCUCUGUUUCAGUAAUACUGCCUUGUUGAUCUUUCUUUCCUCCAUCAUGUGGUUUCUAUUUUCUUGUAUUAAUCCAUGCUUCCCCUCCCAACAUUUUUUCAUGUGCUUGCCAGUUUGAGGUCAACGAGUACUAAGAAUGGACUGAAAAGAAUUUCCAGGAUGUUUUUUGAGACUAUUAAUAACUUUAGCAGCUAUUCAAGCAAACAGCGCUCCAUGUUCAUCGUACUUCAGUGCAUAAGCUCAUUGCUGGAGGAAGCAAAUUCAGAGAUUCUUCAUGUUACAGAGUGUACAGAUGGUGAGAUACACUAUGGAGUUUUGGAGAUAAGAUGACACUUCCAGUGGGGCACACAAAAAGAAAGAGACAAUACUGUGCUGAUAAACAGGAACAGUUUUCAAAGGCAAAGAAAUUCCAGAAGCUACAAUCAGUGAGGGAUUUUUAAGAGUUGCCACUUUCAACUCUUCCUAAUUUUAAGGCACCUGACCACACAGCAGGCAUCCCUGAAGUCCUAAGGUGUGAGGUAUUCCUCAGCAACACGCAAGAAGGCUGAACUACCUAUUAGUGAGACCUGCAGAAGCCAGUCAGGCUGGGUGGACUGCCAAAAGCUAAGGAUAGAGGUGGCACUUAGGGAAAUAUGUAAUUAAGUUUUAUCAGUUCUUCACAGUGAAAGCCCAGAACCUUAUCCGUCACCCCAGCAAUGUGGGAUGACUUGGCUGAGACUGGAAGGAGAAAGGUAGAGCCAAAUCCAUGACGCUGUGAGUCACUCAAAGGAAAAGAAAUCCGAUCAAUGAGGUUCAGGACAACUCACCUUGAAAUUACACCAAAGUGUAGGGCAGACUGCCAACAGGAUAAUGACCUGUGCUUCAAACAUGGCAGCAAAUCUCACAUAUCCCACUAUGGUGCUCUAAACAGUGCACUGGGCAAAGUGGUCUUGUUCCAAGUUGUAUUCUAUGUGAGGUACCUGAUAGGUAUGAUGUGAUGAAUAUUUAAAAAAAAGAAAGAAGAAAAAAAAAUGAGAGAAAAAAUCAGGCCUGGAACAUGAGAGAGACCAGGGAGAAAAUGAUCCGAGAACCCCACUGAGGCCUGGGCAUGAGGCAGCUUGAAGAUGCCAGGUGUGGCUGCUUACACAUGAACAGAUGUCUUGCUUCCAAGGGGAUUAAAAUCUGACAUUGAAGUGCCUAAAAACAUGGGCCAAAGUCUAUUUUAGAGCUGAUUUUUAUAACCUAGUAGAUGAUAUUUAUCAAGGAAGAGAGUAAAACUUGCAUAGGAGGAAAGGAAGCAGUAUGCCAAAUUUCACAGCACUGUACGUGGACAUAAAUCACAUGUUAGAGGGAGAACACUGGGGAGUUAAGUGAUGGAAUUCACACACAGAAUUUGUGCUUGAUAUAGUGUGCUAACUUGGACUCCUGCAGACUGCAGCUUCUGAGCAUCCAGAACUUUCCAGCAUCUUAAGAAAUGAUGCAAUACAUUUGUUGUUUUUUUUUCCCCCAGAGGCUUUGUAUUGCAUUUUCCUUGUUGAUUUUAUGUUUCAGAGAGAAAAUGCCAAAAGGCAAAGGGACACUUAGAAGGUAUAUUCAAUUUACUUCUUGCCUCCCUUCAAAAUGAGAAAGUUUAGUAGACUGAAAAAAUAUGGACUUUUGCAGAUUUAUUUUUGAGAUGCAAAGUUAGAUCUGAUUUUUACAUAAGCAUCAACACAUCCUCUCUGAGUUUCAGAAGCUUUCAGCACUCCUUCAAAAUGUAGCCAAAGCCAAGGAGCAACCCAAUGUUAUAUCCGACAUGGCAAGAGUUAACGGGCAGUGAAGUGUGGCUCCUGCAGAGAGAACAUUACUCCAGUAUAUUAAGCAUCUGAAGACACAGCUGAAUUCUUCCGCCUCAGUAGGAAUUACAGCCCUUUCUCCUUUUCAGUUUUCCUGUAGCUGCAGCUCUACAGCACCACAGACCUCUAUACAUUGCGCCACCAUUGCACUAAGAGCCUGGCUCAAGCAAAAGAGAAACAACAGAGGAGUCUUCCUGGUUGAUGGCUAGCACAGUAGAAGAUGGCAAUGCCAUGGAUAAAAUACACUGCGAUGCCAUGGAGAAGCUGCUGACUAGCUCUUUUCUUUUUUUAAUUGAGGAUUACAGCUAAGUUUACUGCCGAUUUCCUCAACAAUACACAUUUAUUGAAUACUGUUAAUUAUAAGCAUAAUUUCCCAGUUAAAUGAGUGUUAAUUACAUAAAACAAAUAACAUUCUGACCCCUUA